UUAGCUUCAGCAUCCCUACCUGGAACGUGGGGAUGGGAACAAUCACAGCUGCUCUGCGAGCUCCACCGAGGAUUUCUGAGGAUCAUGUGAGAUGGGCACAGGGGAGGAAGCUGCCCUGCAACGUACGCUCUGAAUGCAGGACGUCACUCAGUCCUGCCGUGUGGCCCAACUCCGGGGAUACCAACUACUUGGACUCCUGUUAAUGCACCCCAGCUUCAUGCAUCACAACCGACCUGACCAUCAGUAAAUCAUAUGCAAUGCUUCGUUUCAGUGCAGGAUUAAGAACAUGUUCAUUAUGGAAAAUGAUAAGACAAUAAGAAGCCGAGCAUCCAGAAGCAGCCGGCGUCACGGAGGCGUGCGCACAGAGACACACGCGUAACUGAACCAUUCUGCUGUGCACCGGAAAACAACGACGUAAAUCGAGGUUACACUUCAGUGAAAAAUAAGAACUAAAAAAUGGUGCCGUCACUGGGUUGUUGUUUUGGAACAUUCUUUUUAAAUCCAAAAUACAUAAUUGACACCUUUCCACUGAAUAAAUGUUUCCAGGAUAUUCUUUUGAA